UAGGCCUUAGUUUAAUAAAAACGUUUGGGUUGCAUUCUGAGGAUGCAGAGUAAAGAUCUGCAGGUCUUA
rnacentral:tRNA from 1 species